rnacentral:lncRNA from 1 species
UGAAUAUCCCAUGGGCUGGUGACCCUAUUUGUAAGUACGCCCUGUCUUACAGCGCAUGGACCCUAACUGAGGAACUGCUGAUGUGAACAAUGCGCAGGAGUUGGAUGUGAGCAACAGCAGCAACUUGGUGUGGAGCUUCCUGGAGAACAGACACAGUUUUACAAAGAAAUAGCACACCUUGGAAAUGAUGCUUGUUAAGUUACAGAAGUAGUAACCAACUUUCGCCUCCUGCUGUUUUAUGUGUAUGGGUUUUCCUGGAUAGUUCUAGUGGAAAGAUGUUCAUCAUCCUGAAGAGUAUGGAAAACAUAUCUUGCAGCCAGCCAUUACGAACCGGCAUCCAUCUUACUACAAUAUAUACCAAUGAAUAAGGGCCUCCAGAAUAACAUGAGAUACAGUCUAAUCAAAAACACGUUUGGGAUCAUGCUGAGUAUCGUUGACUGAAAAUAUUGGAGCACAGCACCACUGUGGGUGUGUUACAUAAAUUGCCACAAUGGAGUGUUUUUCAGAUUCUUCAGCUGAGAGGCCAUCUGUCAUUGAAAGUGGCACAUUCACCUGCUCAUCACUUCUGCAGCAGUCUGUGUGCUAGACAGGGUACAUCCAGAUGAAGUUAACAACAGGAGCAGCUCUUCAUACAGCUGAGUUUGGAAAGACUUAGUAAUCAAGUCACUCCUUCAGAUGGGAGCAAACACCGCAAAUAGAUCGCUCUUUCUAUCCAAGAGAACAGCAAGUGCUUUCCGCUUUGCUUCAGAAAAGAGCAAACUAGUUCCCUGAGGGAUGUUUUUCUACUCAGUAGAAUCCAGCAUUGCCUCCGUGGGCACUUGUCUACCAUUCCUGACCUGCAGCACAUAGGGCCUCCACGACUGAAAAAUGAAGAUGACUGUAAGAGCUCUGAUGAACCUGUUUGGACAACAGACAGCAACAAAUACCUGUCUCGGUGGAGGAGUUUAAGAGCACUGCAGAGAUUCUCAGACAGUACAGAAUAUCUUGGCUCGCACAGGCCACUCUCUUUAUCUCAAAACAAUACCAGCCAAGCUCCUCUGUACCUACAACUGAAGAGCUGCAGGAACAGGAGGACAGUAGCUAACACAGCUUUUAAAUUGAAUCUCCUUGUCUUAUUAAAAAAAGAAAAAGAAAGAAAAAGAAAAAAAGAAAAAGACAUGCAUUCUAAGCAAGAUGAGGUAUCUGAUUCCAAGGAAGAAAACUAUGCACGGCAGGUUGAAGCUACAGGGGCAGUCCUGACUGGUUUUUCUCCAUCCAGCUACUUUACUUACGGCCCUUUGAAACCAGCAGUUCCUGUGGAUCAGGACUUAAAGUGAUGCUGGGGACUUGCUGAGCCAUCGCCGACCCUCAGCAGUGAGGCCAUGCCGAGCCCUGUUCCAUGUCCCGGGGGGAGCCCGGCACCGAGAGCAGCAAAACCCGCCAGGGGGUAACACAGGUGCGUGAAAAAUGUUUGGAACAUGGCUCUCUAUUGAUUUUACAUUAAUGUUUGACACGUAGAGCGGGGAUAAUAUUCCAGUGGCAAUUACCCUCAAGACAUGCACCAUUAUACAAAAUAAAUGUCAGUGCUUGCC